GGUGGGCGAGGCUAGCCUCGGGCUCGCUCUUUUCUAUAUAAGGCACUGGCAGAGCACGCGCACGUCCUUUCUUCGGACUCGCUCAGAGUGGAACUAUGUGGUUAGGAGCUGUUUUGAUAUUAUCACAAUGCAAACAAAAGCCUCAUGAUUGUGAGAACAUCCACAUAUCUAGAAGUGUGCAUGAUGGAUAAGAAUGGAUAUUUCUGGAUUGUUGGAACACCUGCUGAAGUUACCUUCAGAAUAAAGCCUGGCAGCUGGGAUUCAUAGCAGCUGUGAUGAACUUGACCCAAAGUCUCCCAACUACUGAUUCCUGACAGAUUUCAG